ACACAAUAUUUCAGCGUUCAACUUUGGUCCCAUCCCCCACAUACUUGCACCAGAAACUGCAUCUGGAGCUGGAGCAGCAGAGAAGGAGGGGCAACAGAUUUGCAACUGUCCAUGAUUAAGUGACUGAAUUGGACACCCAGAUGGUUUUCAGGGCAUGACCAGAGACUGACAUUAAAGAAGUAACGUCACACAUGCCUGCAAAGUACUUUGGUGAAACAUUCACA